ensembl:lncRNA novel transcript
AGGCUUUUGAGACACACAUUAGGAGAGGACUCUGCCCGCUGUCUGUCUCACAAUCUGCUCGAAAUAUCUUGGUCAGGAAUCUCAGGAUGUCUAGUGACCCCGAGUGAGGUGCUGCCUUUUAUUCCUGAGCAUCUUUGGAAGCAGGAAGCAGGGAGCAACGGUAGCGAGAGGUAUUCGGAUCUGAGUAUCAGCAGGAAGAAGAAACAGAGGAAGAAGUCCCCCAUAAGGAAGGCGUGAGGAGCGCAGGAAGCGCUGUUUCCCUGCCUGAGAUCUUUAUUCUACUAGGUCUUUAUUCUACGUAGCCGAUACGCUGUAAAAUUCUGGAAGAGAAGGCUAGGGGUUUAAGCCAGAGAACGAGCCAGAGCCGAGCUUGAGAAUGACGGGAUAGAUCUAGCAGUUAUGCCCAAGGAAGACCCUCGGCCCUUUGAAUUUGAAGGCACUGAAAAUCGUAUAAAUGUUUUCAUAUAAACGUAUGCAUCUUUGAUAUAAAUAACAAAAUGGCUUUUAGCACAAA